AUUACUGGACUCGGACUAGGACUGGUGGCGGAGAUGAAUCUGGUGGAACUCGGACUGGUGGCGGAGAUGAAUCUGGUGGAACACGGACAGGUGGCGGAUAUAUGUUGCAGGUGAACUCGGAUUGGCGUGAUGGCGGCGGAUAUGUGGUGGCGUAUAUGGAUUCGGAUUGGCGGUGAAUAUGUGGUGGUGGUAUAUGGGAAUAGCGACGAUGAUGAUGCGGUGGUGAUAUAUGGCAGCGGCGACGUGACAACCUGUGAACAGAACUCGAAACUCUAAAAGACUAGACGCUAAGACCAGCAACUGGACACGACGAUGCAACCGCAAAUUCAACAAAGCAAAUACAGAAACGAUUAUGCAAGGCUCAGAUUGGUUCGGAUGGGAUGAACUAACCCUAAUUUUUUUUGGCUUUUUCGUGGACUAUAGGUAUGAAGAACAGACUCGAUCUAAACUACGAAAAACUGUAAAAUCUCACCGAGCAACCUGGAAAUCUGAUACCACUUGAUAGAGGCAAAGGUGUCCCGUCUUUCGAUGAGAUGAUGGAUAUUGCUUUGGUGGAAGUCGACUUUGACGAUCCGACUACGAACGUGCGAGGACGUCGCGCCUUAGCAAUCGCUAAACCAACUCCGAGAGGUUAUUGACCACGCCGGAGCACGAUCAACCUGACCACGAGGGUCUGUUUCCUGCGAGCAAACGAAGAACAAGCAAGAAACUGAGAUUGCAAUCGGGAUAUUGCGAAUAUAAGAUGAAAGCUUUAUUGAUCAAGGUGGGGUUCUGUGACGUCUUGGUCUGGUCGUUGGACACAAACGAAGUACGCGAAGUUGCAGCUAUGGCGAACUUUUAAUCUAAACAAAACCCAAAGUCUAAACGACGCCCUAAGGGCUGUAUAUAUGGAGGAAGAGGGGGGAAUUUCGUGGCCCUUGAGGGUGGGGUCCGAAACCAACCCUAACUCUUGUUUCCCCACACAUACGGACUCUAAAAAUAGCCUAUACUAAAGUAUUUAGAAAUUACAGGGGCCUGGCCCAUUAAUAAGGUGACGCAGCACCUAGAAUAGCCUAUGGACGAAUAUUAUGAAGUGGCAUCUUGUAUAUUUCGUCCAAUUCUUCAUGCACUCCUUAUGGCGGCUUCAAAGUCCUGAAAUCAUCACUUGUAACUCCGUUCUUGAUCCCCUUGCGCAUGCCAUCAACUCCAUGCGUGUUCUUGCUCCAAUGUUCAUCCUUCUCCAAGCUAGGCCCUUCAUUUGUAAGCAAAACAAAUGUAUCCAAUUUAGGCAGCAUCAUAUUCUCAUGAACAUUAGAAUCAUUACCAAGAAGCGAAAGUACCUGAUAAUUUAAUUGGCGUGCGCGAGCUCUAGUAAUUGGUCCCGUAUAUGUAGCAGUAGGGGCUGUGGGUGUAACAAUGGUAUUGAUGUCCUCAUCAGAACUUGCUCCAAGGUUCAAAUUUCUUGUCCAAGCUAGGUCCUUAAUUUGUAAGCAAAACAAAUGUAUCCAAUUUAGGCAGCAUCAUAUUCUCAUGAACAUUAGAAUCGUUACCAAGAAAUGAAAGUACCUGAUUAUUUAAUUGGCGUGCGCAAGCUCUAGUAAUUGGUCCAAUAUGUAUAACAGCAGGGGCUAUGGAUGUAACAAUGGUAUUGAUGUCCUCAUCAGAAAUGAACCUAUUGAUAUGCAGCAAAAGGUAGACUACACUAGACAAGCCAUGAAGUGAAAACACGAAGACUAUCAGCAGCGAGGUAGUAUGGAUCAGGAUGGAAGAUAGUAUGAAACCAAACAGUAAAGAGUCUUCACUUAGUGAAGUCAAUUAGAUUAUACAGGCAUGCAAUGACUUCAUGAUAGAGGCUAAGGUGUCCCGAUGUUUCGAUGAGAUGGUGGCUAUCGUUUUCUGUGGGAGUCGACCUUGACGAUCCGACUACGAACGUGCGAGACGUCGCGCCUUAGCAAUCGCUAAACCAACUUCCGAGGGUUAUUGACCACGCCGGAGCACGAUCAACCUGACCACGAGGGUCUGUUUCCUGCGAGCAAACGAAGAACAAGCAAGAAACUGAGAUUGCAAUCGGGAUAUUGCGAAUAUAAGAUGAAAGCUUUAUUGAUCAAGGUGGGGUUCUGUGACAUCUUGGUCUGGUCGUUGGACACAAACGAAGUACGCGAAGUUGCAGCUAUGGCGAACUUUUAAUCUAAACAAAACCCAAAGUCUAAAAGACGCCCUAAGGGCUGUAUAUAUGGAGGAAGAGGGGGGAAUUUCGUGGCCCUUGAGGGUGGGGUCCGAAACCAACCCUAACUCUUGUUUCCCCACACAUACGGACUCUAAAAAUAGCCUAUACUAAAGUAUUUAGAAAUUACAGGGGCCUGGCCCAUUAAUAAGGUGACGCAGCACCUAGAAUAGCCUAUGGACGAAUAUUAUGAAGUGGCAUCUUGUAUAUUUCGUCCAAGGCUUCAUGCACUCCUUAUGGCGGCUUCAAAGUCCUGAAAUCAUCACUUGUAACUCCGUUCUUGAUCCCCUUGCGCAUGCCAUCAACUCCAUGCGUGUUCUUGCUCCAAUGUUCAUCCUUCUCCAAGCUAGGCCCUUCAUUUGUAAGCAAAACAAAUGUAUCCAAUUUAGGCAGCAUCAUAUUCUCAUGAACAUUAGAAUCAUUACCAAGAAGCGAAAGUACCUGAUAAUUUAAUUGGCGUGCGCGAGCUCUAGUAAUUGGUCCCGUAUAUGUAGCAGUAGGGGCUGUGGGUGUAACAAUGGUAUUGAUGUCCUCAUCAGAACUUGCUCCAAGGUUCAUCUUUCUUGUCCAAGCUAGGUCCUUAAUUUGUAAGCAAAACAAAUGUAUCCAAUUUAGGCAGCAUCAUAUUCUCAUGAACAUUAGAAUCGUUACCAAGAAAUGAAAGUACCUGAUUAUUUAAUUGGCGUGCGCAAGCUCUAGUAAUUGGUCCAAUAUGUAUAACAGCAGGGGCUAUGGAUGUAACAAUGUUAUUGAUGUCCUCAUCAGAAAUGAACCUAUUGAUAUGCAGCAAAAGGUAGACUACACUAGACAAGCCAUGAAGUGAAAACACGAAGACUAUCAGCAGCGAGGUAGUAUGGAUCAGGAUGGAAGAUAGUAUGAAACCAAACAGUAAAGAGUCUUCACUUAGUGAAGUCAAUUAGAUUAUACAGGCAUGCAAUGACUUCAUGAUAGAGGCUAAGGUGUCCCGAUGUUUCGAUGAGAUGGUGGCUAUCGUUUUCUGUGGGAGUCGACCUUGACGAUCCGACUACGAACGUGCGAGACGUCGCGCCUUAGCAAUCGCUAAACCAACUUCCGAGGGUUAUUGACCACGCCGGAGCACGAUCAACCUGACCACGAGGGUCUGUUUCCUGCGAGCAAACGAAGAACAAGCAAGAAACUGAGAUUGCAAUCGGGAUAUUGCGAAUAUAAGAUGAAAGCUUUAUUGAUCAAGGUGGGGUUCUGUGACGUCUUGGUCUGGUCGUUGGACACAAACGAAGUACGCGAAGUUGCAGCUAUGGCGAACUUUUAAUCUAAACAAAACCCAAAGUCUAAAAGACGCCCUAAGGGCUGUAUAUAUGGAGGAAGAGGGGGGAAUUUCGUGGCCCUUGAGGGUGGGGUCCGAAACCAACCCUAACUCUUGUUUCCCCACACAUACGGACUCUAAAAAUAGCCUAUACUAAAGUAUUUUGAAAUUACAAGGGCCUGGCCCAUUAAUAAGGUGACGCAGCACCUAGAAUAGCCUAUGGACGAAUAUUAUGAAGUGGCAUCUUGUAUAUUUCGUCCAAGGCUUCAUGCACUCCUUAUGGCGGCUUCAAAGUCCUGAAAUCAUCACUUGUAACUCCGUUCUUGAUCCCCUUGCGCAUGCCAUCAACUCCAUGCGUGUUCUUGCUCCAAUGUUCAUCCUUCUCCAAGCUAGGCCCUUCAUUUGUAAGCAAAACAAAUGUAUCCAAUUUAGGCAGCAUCAUAUUCUCAUGAACAUUAGAAUCAUUACCAAGAAGCGAAAGUACCUGAUAAUUUAAUUGGCGUGCGCGAGCUCUAGUAAUUGGUCCCGUAUAUGUAGAAGUAGGGGCUGUGGGUGUAACAAUGGUAUUGAUGUCCUCAUCAGAACUUGCUCCAAGGUUCAUCUUUCUUGUCCAAGCUAGGUCCUUAAUUUGUAAGCAAAACAAAUGUAUCCAAUUUAGGCAGCAUCAUAUUCUCAUGAACAUUAGAAUCGUUACCAAGAAAUGAAAGUACCUGAUUAUUUAAUUGGCGUGCGCAAGCUCUAGUAAUUGGUCCAAUAUGUAUAACAGCAGGGGCUAUGGAUGUAACAAUGGUAUUGAUGUCCUCAUCAGAAAUGAACCUAUUGAUAUGCAGCAAAAGGUAGACUACACUAGACAAGCCAUGAAGUGAAAACACGAAGACUAUCAGCAGCGAGGUAGUAUGGAUCAAGAUGGAAGAUAGUAUGAAACCAAACAGUAAAGAGUCUUCACUUAGUGAAGUCAAUUAGAUUAUACAGGCAUGCAAUGACUUCAUGAUAGAGGCUAAGGUGUCCCGAUGUUUCGAUGAGAUGGUGGCUAUCGUUUUCUGUGGGAGUCGACCUUGACGAUCCGACUACGAACGUGCGAGACGUCGCGCCUUAGCAAUCGCUAAACCAACUUCCGAGGGUUAUUGACCACACCGGAGCACGAUCAACCUGACCACGAGGGUCUGUUUCCUGCGAGCAAACGAAGAACAAGCAAGAAACUGAGAUUGCAAUCGGGAUAUUGCGAAUAUAAGAUGAAAGCUUUAUUGAUCAAGGUGGGGUUCUGUGACGUCUUGGUCUGGUCGUUGGACACAAACGAAGUACGCGAAGUUGCAGCUAUGGCGAACUUUUAAUCUAAACAAAACCCAAAGUCUAAAAGACGCCCUAAGGGCUGUAUAUAUGGAGGAAGAGGGGGGAAUUUCGUGGCCCUUGAGGGUGGGGUCCGAAACCAACCCUAACUCUUGUUUCCCCACACAUACGGACUCUAAAAAUAGCCUAUACUAAAGUAUUUAGAAAUUACAGGGGCCUGGCCCAUUAAUAAGGUGACGCAGCACCUAGAAUAGCCUAUGGACGAAUAUUAUGAAGUGGCAUCUUGUAUAUUUCGUCCAAGGCUUCAUGCACUCCUUAUGGCGGCUUCAAAGUCCUGAAAUCAUCACUUGUAACUCCGUUCUUGAUCCCCUUGCGCAUGCCAUCAACUCCAUGCGUGUUCUUGCUCCAAUGUUCAUCCUUCUCCAAGCUAGGCCCUUCAUUUGUAAGCAAAACAAAUGUAUCCAAUUUAGGCAGCAUCAUAUUCUCAUGAACAUUAGAAUCAUUACCAAGAAGCGAAAGUACCUGAUAAUUUAAUUGGCGUGCGCGAGCUCUAGUAAUUGGUCCCGUAUGUAUAACAGCAGGGGCUAUGGAUGUAACAAUGGUAUUGAUGUCCUCAUCAGAAAUGAACCUAUUGAUAUGCAGCAAAAGGUAGACUACACUAGACAAGCCAUGAAGUGAAAACACGAAGACUAUCAGCAGCGAGGUAGUAUGGAUCAGGAUGGAAGAUAGUAUGAAACCAAACAGUAAAGAGUCUUCACUUAGUGAAGUCAAUUAGAUUAUACAGGCAUGCAAUGACUUCAUGAUAGAGGCUAAGGUGUCCCGAUGUUUCGAUGAGAUGGUGGCUAUCGUUUUCUGUGGGAGUCGACCUUGACGAUCCGACUACGAAUGUGCGAGACGUCGCGCCUUAGCAAUCGCUAAACCAACUUCCGAGGGUUAUUGACCACGCCGGAGCACGAUCAACCUGACCACGAGGGUCUGUUUCCUGCGAGCAAACGAAGAACAAGCAAGAAACUGAGAUUGCAAUCGGGAUAUUGCGAAUAUAAGAUGAAAGCUUUAUUGAUCAAGGUGGGGUUCUGUGACGUCUUGGUCUGGUCGUUGGACACAAACGAAGUACGCGAAGUUGCAGCUAUGGCGAACUUUUAAUCUAAACAAAACCCAAAGUCUAAAAGACGCCCUAAGGGCUGUAUAUAUGGAGGAAGAGGGGGGAAUUUCGUGGCCCUUGAGGGUGGGGUCCGAAACCAACCCUAACUCUUGUUUCCCCACACAUACGGACUCUAAAAAUAGCCUAUACUAAAGUAUUUAGAAAUUACAGGGGCCUGGCCCAUUAAUAAGGUGACGCAGCACCUAGAAUAGCCUAUGGACGAAUAUUAUGAAGUGGCAUCUUGUAUAUUUCGUCCAAGGCUUCAUGCACUCCUUAUGGCGGCUUCAAAGUCCUGAAAUCAUCACUUGUAACUCCGUUCUUGAUCCCCUUGCGCAUGCCAUCAACUCCAUGCGUGUUCUUGCUCCAAUGUUCAUCCUUCUCCAAGCUAGGCCCUUCAUUUGUAAGCAAAACAAAUGUAUCCAAUUUAGGCAGCAUCAUAUUCUCAUGAACAUUAGAAUCAUUACCAAGAAGCGAAAGUACCUGAUAAUUUAAUUGGCGUGCGCGAGCUCUAGUAAUUGGUCCCGUAUAUGUAGCAGUAGGGGCUGUGGGUGUAACAAUGGUAUUGAUGUCCUCAUCAGAACUUGCUCCAAGGUUCAUCUUUCUUGUCCAAGCUAGGUCCUUAAUUUGUAAGCAAAACAAAUGUAUCCAAUUUAGGCAGCAUCAUAUUCUCAUGAACAUUAGAAUCGUUACCAAGAAAUGAAAGUACCUGAUUAUUUAAUUGGCGUGCGCAAGCUCUAGUAAUUGGUCCAAUAUGUAUAACAGCAGGGGCUAUGGAUGUAACAAUGGUAUUGAUGUCCUCAUCAGAAAUGAACCUAUUGAUAUGCAGCAAAAGGUAGACUACACUAGACAAGCCAUGAAGUGAAAACACGAAGACUAUCAGCAGCGAGGUAGUAUGGAUCAGGAUGGAAGAUAGUAUGAAACCAAACAGUAAAGAGUCUUCACUUAGUGAAGUCAAUUAGAUUAUACAGGCAUGCAAUGACUUCAUGAUAGAGGCUAAGGUGUCCCGAUGUUUCGAUGAGAUGGUGGCUAUCGUUUUCUGUGGGAGUCGACCUUGACGAUCCGACUACGAACGUGCGAGACGUCGCGCCUUAGCAAUCGCUAAACCAACUUCCGAGGGUUAUUGACCACGCCGGAGCACGAUCAACCUGACCACGAGGGUCUGUUUCCUGCGAGCAACCGAAGAACAAGCAAGAAACUGAGAUUGCAAUCGGGAUAUUGCGAAUAUAAGAUGAAAGCUUUAUUGAUCAAGGUGGGGUUCUGUGACGUCUUGGUCUGGUCGUUGGACACAAACGAAGUACGCGAAGUUGCAGCUAUGGCGAACUUUUAAUCUAAACAAAACCCAAAGUCUAAACGACGCCCUAAGGGCUGUAUAUAUGGAGGAAGAGGGGGGAAUUUCGUGGCCCUUGAGGGUGGGGUCCGAAACCAACCCUAACUCUUGUUUCCCCACACAUACGGACUCUAAAAAUAGCCUAUACUAAAGUAUUUUGAAAUUACAGGGGCCUGGCCCAUUAAUAAGGUGACGCAGCACCUAGAAUAGCCUAUGGACGAAUAUUAUGAAGUGGCAUCUUGUAUAUUUCGUCCAAGGCUUCAUGCACUCCUUAUGGCGGCUUCAAAGUCCUGAAAUCAUCACUUGUAACUCCGUUCUUGAUCCCCUUGCGCAUGCCAUCAACUCCAUGCGUGUUCUUGCUCCAAUGUUCAUCCUUCUCCAAGCUAGGCCCUUCAUUUGUAAGCAAAACAAAUGUAUCCAAUUUAGGCAGUGAUAGAGGCAAAGGUGUCCCGUCUUUCGUUGAGAUGAUGGAUAUCGCUUUGGUGGAAGUCGACUUUGACGAUCCGACUACGAACGUGCGAGGACGUCGCGCCUUAGCAAUCGCUAAACCAACUCCGAGAGGUUAUUGACCACGCCGGAGCAUGAUCAACCUGACCACGAGGGUCUGUUUCCUGCGAGCAAACGAAGAACAAGCAAGAAACUAAGAUUGCAAUCUGGAUAUUGCGAAUAUAAGAUGAAAGCUUUAUUGAUCAAGGUGGGGUUCUGUGACGCCUUUGUCUGGUCGUUGAUCACAAACGAAGUACGCGAAGUUGCAGCUAUGGCGAACUUUAAUCUAAACAAAACCCGAAGGCUAAACGGUGCCCUAAGGGCUGUAUAUAUGGAGGAAGAGAGGGGGAAUUUCGUGGCCCUUGGUGGAGGGGUCCGAAAUCAACCCUAUCUCUGGUUUCCCCACACAUACGGACUCUAAAAAUAGCCUAUACUUAUGUAUUUCGAAAUUACAUGGGCCUGGCCCAAUAAAAAGGUGACGCAGCACCUAUAAUAGCCUCGGGACGAAAUUUAUGAAGUGGCAUCUUGUAUAUUUCGUCCAAGGCUUCAUGCACCCAUUAUGGUGGCUUCAAAGUCCUAAAAUCAUCACUUGUAACUCCGUUCUUGUUCCCCUUGCGCAUAGCAUCAUCUCCAUGCUUGUUCUUGCUCCAAUGUUCAUCCUUCUCCAAGCUAGGCCCUUCAUUUGUAAGCAAAACAAAUGUAUCCAAUUUAGGCAGCAUAAUAUUCUCAUGAACAUUAGAACCAUUACCAAGAAACGAAAGUACCUGAUAAUUUAAUUGGCAUGCGCGAGCUCUAGUAAUUGGUCCCGUAUUUGUAGCAGUAGGGGCUGUGGGUGUAACAAUGGUAUUGAUGUCCUCAUCAUCCUCCCCUUCUUGAAAUGAAGUCGUCCUCGACGGAAGCUCAUCUUCCUCACCCAAAUAAGGCUUCAAAUCUGCAAUGUUAAAAGUGGGACUAACCCCAAAAUCUGCAGGCAGCUCAAGUUUAUAUGCAUUAUCAUUUAUUUUCUCUAACACCUUAAAGGGACCAUCAACACGUGGCAUUAGCUUUGAUUUGCGCAAAUCAGGAAAUCUAUCCUUAUGCAAAUGUAACCAAACAAGAUCUCCAGGUGCAAACACAACAUGUUUUCUACCCUUAUCUCCAGCAAGUUUAUAUUUAGCAUUCAUACGCUCAAUGUUUUCCUUAGUUAACUCAUGCAUUUUUGAAAUCAAUUCAACAUGUUGUUUAGCAUCAAAAUUAACCUUCUCCGAAGAUGGAAGAGGCAACAAAUCAAUAGGUGCACGAGGUAGGAAACCAUACACAACUUCAAAAGGGCACAUCUUAGUAGUAGAAUGCAAUGAACGAUUAUAAGCAAAUUCAAUAUGAGGCAAGCAUUCCUCCCACAUUUUCUUAUUAUUCUUCAAAACAGCCCUAAGCAUAGUAGACAACGUUCUAUUGACUACUUCAGUUUAUCCAUCAGUUUGGGGGUGACAAGUAGUACUAAAAAGCAGUUUAGUCCCCAACUUAGCCCAUAAACAUCUCCGAAAGUGGCUAAGAAAUUUAGUAUCACGAUCUGAAACAAUAGUAUUUGGCACACCAGGCAAGCGAAUAAUUUCACGAAAGAACAAAUCAGCAACAUUAACAGCAUCAUCGCUUUUAUGACAUGGUAUAAAGUGUGCCAUUUUCGAGAAUCUAUCCACGACAACAAAUAUGCUAUCCCUCCCCUUCUUUGUUCGAGGUAAACCUAAAACAAAGUCCAUAGAUAUAUCCUCCCAAGGAACACUAGGUACAGGCAAAGGCAUAUAUAAACCAUGAGGAUUGAGUCGUGACUUAGCUUUUUGACAUGUAGUGCAUCGAGCAAUAAAACGCUCAACAUCCCGUCUCAUCUUUGGCCAAAAGAAAUGUGUAGCAAGUACGUCCUCCGUCUUUUUCACGCCAAAGUGUCCCAUUAAUCCUCCUCCAUGUGCCUCCUGCAACAACAAAAGACGAACGGAGCUAGCUGGAAUGCAUAGCUUGUUAGCACGAAACACAAAUCCAUCGUUAACGACAAACUUGUUCCUCAUUCUAGCUUCUUUACAAUUUUGCAUUACAUCUUUAAAAUCAGCAUCAUGCACAUAUUGAUCUUUGAUGGUCUCCAAACCAAAUAUUUUGAAGUCAAGUUGUGAAAGCAUAGUAUAGCGACGAGACAAUGCAUCGGCAAUAACAUUUUCUUUUCCCUUCUUGUGUUUAAUGACAUAAGGGAAAGUCUCAAUGAAUUCAACCCAUUUAGCAUGUCUACGAUUCAGUUUAGCUUGACUUUUAAUAUGUUUCAAAGAUUCAUGAUCAGAAUGUAUAACAAAUUCUUUGGGCCACAAAUAAUGUUGCCAUGUUUCUAAAGUCCGAACAAGAGCAUAUAAUUCUUUAUCAUAAGUAGAAUAAUUCAGACUAGGCCCACUCAAUUUUUCAGAAAAGUAUGCAACAGGUUUGCCAUCUUGUAAUAACACACCUCCUAAUCCAAUUCCACUAGCAUCACAUUCAAGCUCAAAAGUCUUAUUAAAAUCAGGAAGUUGGAGUAAAGGAGCAUGUGUCAACUUAUCUUUCAAUACCGAGAAGGCUUCUUCCUGUGCGGUACCCCAAAGAAAAGACACAUCUUUCUUUGUAAGCUCAUUGAGAGGUGCAGCAAUGGUGCUGAAAUCUCUCACAAAACGCCUAUAGAAUCCAGCGAGGCCAAGAAAACUCCUCACUUGUGUGACCGUUUUGGGCUGCGGCCAACUCUCAAUAGCUUCAAUCUUGGCUUUGUCAACUUCAAUUCCCUGUGGAGUAACAACAUAGCCGAGAAAAGAUACUCGGUCGGUGCAAAAGGUGCACUUCCCAAGGUUACCAAACAAACGUGCAUCACGUAGAGCAAUAAAAACAGCACGUAAAUGUUCCACAUGUUCUUCCAAAGAUCUGCUAUAAAUCAAUAUGUCAUCAAAGUAAACUACCACAAAUCGUCCAAUGAAAGCACGUAAAACUUCGUUCAUUAGUCUCAUGAAAGUACUAGGUGCAUUAGUUAACCCAAAAGGCAUGACUAACCACUCAUUUAUCCAAACUUAGUUUUAAAUGCUAUUUUUCAUUCAUCUCCCAAUAUCAUACGAAUUUGAUGGUAUCCACUACGCAAAUCAACUUUGGAGAAUAUUGUAGAGCCACUCAAUUCAUCAAGCAUAUCAUCUAGCCUAGGAAUAGGAUGACGAUAACGAAUAGUAAUAUUAUUUAUGCCUCUACAAUGAACGCACAUACGCGACGUACCAUCCUUUUUCGGCACUAAAAUGAUAGGAACAGCACAAGGACUAAGGGAUUCGCGUAUAUAACCUUUGUCGAGCAGUUCUUGUACUUGACGCAUAAUCUCCUUCGUCUCCUCUGAAUUGGUACGGUAUGGUGCAUGGUUGGGUAGCGAAGCACCGGGAAUUAAGUCAAUUUGAUGCUCAAUCCCUCGAAUAGGUGGUAAUCCCGGUGGCACGUCUUGUGGAAAGACGUCAGCGAACUCCUGCAAAAUGUUAGUGACAGCAGGGGGCAAAGAGGAAGGCACGUCCUCGAAUGAAAAUAAUGCCUCUUUGCACACAAAAGCAUAGCAAACAGAUUUGCUGAAAUCUAGCUCAUCAAUAUCAGAUUUGGUGGCAAAUAAACAUGCACUUAUCAAUUUAAUUUCAGAAGCAACACUAGAUGGUUUAUUAUUAGGCUGCAUUUGUUGCUCAAAUUCUUUUGCCACAAUCUGAUUUUCACUCUUAUUCUUCUCCUGUUUUGCUUUAUUAGCUCUAUUAAUAUCAUCUUUCAAAAUGGAAUCAGGAGUCAUAGGAAGCAAAGUAAUAUUUUUAUCCUUAUGAACAAGAGUAUAGUGAUUGUUUCUACCAUGGUGUACAUAAUUUUUAUCAAAUUGCCAUGGUCUACCAAGUAAUAAGGAACAUGCUUGCAUAGGUACCACAUCACAAUCAACAUAAUCAGCAUAUGUAGAGAUACUAAAAUGCACACGAACAGUACGUGUUACCUUAACCUUGCCGCUGUUGUUGAACCAUUGGAUGUAGUAAGGAUGUGGAUGUGGUCUUGUGGUGAGAGAAAGCUUCUCCACCAUCUCCAUGCUAGCCAAGUUGUUGCAGCUCCCUCCGUCUAUGAUGACGCGCACAGAACGUUCCUUCACAACUCCCUUGGUAUGGAACAAAUUGUGCCUCUGAUUUUGCUCAGCUUGUGUGACCUGCACACUCAAAAUACGUUGAGCAACUAAACAUUCAUACCUGUCAGCGUCUUCAGGAGCCAUGUAUUGCGUCUCAUGAUCAGAAUCAUCUCCACCAUGUUCUUCUCGUGUAAUAAGAGCCAAAUUCUCCUCAUCAUAGUCACUAGCGGACUCAUAUCCACCAUCCGUGGUAGCAAUCAUCACACGUGGAGAUUUGCAUUCUCUCGCAUAAUGACCUCCUCCCUUACAAUGACGACAAAUAAUAUCACUUGUGUGCCCUGUUGAUGCUAUGGAAGAAGAAGAACGUUGUGCAGGCCCGGGGGUGCGCGCUUGGCAGAUAAUGGUGGUUGUGCCUGUUUUCUUGUAUCACGGCUGGAGGUGGCACCUGAUGGAGGUGCUGGUGCAGUUGAAGUAGAAGAUGCACGUGGUGUCCAUGAUGAAGGUCGGCCUGCAGAAAAGUUAGUUCGCCCCAAUGCUUGUCGAUCCUGCACUUCACGUUCAGCUUUACAAGCAAGAUGGAAUAAACGAGUGAUACUAGUAUACUCCUUAUAGUCUAGAAUGGUUUGAAUCUCUCUAUUUAAUCCACCCAGAAAACGUGCAAGCAUAGCUUCAUUCUCCUCAACAAUACCACAUCUAAUCAUGCCAGUUUGUAAUUCCUGAUAAUAUUCUUCUACAGAAUUUUUUCCUUGUCUUAAGCGCUGUAAUUUCUGAAGCAAUUCACGUUGAUAAUAUGGUGGAACCCAACGAGUACGCAUAGCAGUUUUCAAAGCAGCCCAAGUAGUUGGAAUAGGAUAUAAUCUACAAUGUUCAGACCACCAUACACAUGCAAAACUAGUGAAAGCACAAACAGCAGCGGCAACCCGUCUCUCCUCGGGAUAUUGUAAACAUGUAAAUCGUUGUUCAGUUUCUAACUCCCAAGUAAGAUAUAUAUCAGGAACAUAUCUACUCUCGAAAGGUGGAAUAUUCAAUUUCAGUUUAGGAAGAUGGUCAUGAUCUCGUACCUGAGGGAAAGCCCUACCAUUGUGAUUAUUUGCAUGUGGAUGACCUGGUGGUUGUGGUGCAGGUGGUUGCACGUAGUUCUGAUUUUGAGCAACCUCAUCCUCGUAAUCUCCCACAUAAUCAUCCUCCUCCGCAUCAGCAGCAGGAGCCACAGAAGUAUCAACAGCAGCACCAACAGUUUGGCCAAACGCAAGAGGAACACGGCUCGCUCGGCGGAGAUCUGUUUCGCGACGUGGAGGUAGUCGUUGUUGUUGUUGUUGGAGAGGUGCGUUAGGUGCAGCGGGUGGCGGUGGUGGAAGACGCGCGAGCAAUUCAUUAAACUUGUUAUCGAGCUUUGUUUCGAACGUCUUCUCCAUGCCAUCUAUCUUCUCCAUGGCCUCUUCAAAUCUGUUUAGCACAUCUUGCACCUGUCCACUCAUCAUUUGCUGAAAUUUAUCAUGCAAAUCCUUAUUCGUCAUGUUCUCCCAGUCAGUCUCGUCGGCUUUUGAUCCUGGCAUGGUUAGCAGCAAUGGAAACACACAAGAAUAUGAUCCUACAGACUACUAACAAGAGGUGGUGGUGGGUGUCACAAAUCCGUCAAGCAAAUCUCAAAUUCUUACCAGUUCUUACCCAGUAGCAGGCGGUGAUCGGCAACCGUUAUAGUCAAAAACUCUCAAAGCUUGGAUAGAGCGAUUACCAGGGAGAGUCAAACGCACGACGUAGAUGUAUGUGGAGCUGGGAAGGCUUAUAAUAUGGUAGCAAAAUGGUCAGCAAUAAUCAAUUCAGAGAUGCAAAGUUGAAUAAACGCUCAACGACGGUACUAUGCUGGUCCUAGGCUAGACCGUACUAGAGACGCGAGCCUAGAACACUAACAAAAUCACGACGCUUCACGUAAACAAGGGAGGAGCACACUCUGAAUUUUUUUUCUCUUUUUUUUCCUCUUUUUUUUUGCUCCGCAACAAUUUUUUUCGAAAAAGUCUACAAAUGGCCUAAAAACUGCCUAGCCAGAAUUUUCCAGACUUAGUUUUUUUUUGAAACUGGAACUAUUUUUCUUUUGUGGAUGGCCCGGAAGUUGGGGAGUCCUCCGCUGUCACGACUCGGAGUAUCGCGUGAUCUGGAAAUCGAGAACAAUGCAACGAUUACUGGACUCGGACUAGGACUGGUGGCGGAGAUGAAACUGGUGGAACUCGGACUGGUGGCGGAGAUGAAUCUGGUGGAACUCGGACUGGUGGCGGAUAUAUGUUGCAGGUGGACUCGGAUGGGCGUGAUGGCGGCGGAUAUGUGGUGGCGUAUAUGGAUUCGGAUUGGCGGUGAAUAUGUGGUGGUGGUAUAUGGCAGCGGCGACGUGACAACCUGUGAACAAAACUCGAAACUCUAAAAGACUAGACGCUAAGACCAGCAACUUGACACGGCGAUGCAACCGCAAAUUCAACAAAGCAAAUACAGAAAAGAUUAUGCAAAGGCUCAGAUUGGUUCGGAUGGGAUGAACUAACCCUAAUUUUUU
rnacentral:lncRNA from 1 species